AUGGCUUCAGGGCGUCUGAGUUUCAUUGCGGCCAUCAGUUCGGACACCUGCGUCACUCCGUGUGUUGCAACCAUGGCUAUUUGUGUCACUGCAUGCUCCGUCACCGGCCUCCUGCGCACCGUGACCCCUACCGUACUCCUUCGAGGAGGUUCUCCGGUGCGCGAAGUAUGCAUGUUCUCUGGUGCGCCAAGUAUGCAGGUUCUCCGGUGCGCCAAGUAUUGCCGGCAGCGAUGCCUACUUACGUCGCCAAGGCCGCGUCCUCCUCCUGAGAUAAGAAGAGCGACAAGGAGAUGGAGAGCACGGUCUUUUUUUCGUGGAGCUGGCACUGCUGCAGUACGGCCUAGUCUACUCUAA
rnacentral:rRNA from 1 species